rnacentral:sRNA from 1 species
UAUAAAACCCGGCGUGCCCGCCGCCCCCCGGCGCAGUCCGCGGCAGGGUUCCGGCCGUGCUGCGGUCCGCACGCUGCGCCCGCUCCCGCCUGCCUCCCGCCCUACCCCCCCGUCCCACCGCCCUGGAGCACCAUCCGGGGCCGUGGGCCGGGCACCGGGCGCGGCCCGCUCCGGACCUCGGCCGGGGGUCCCUCCCCUCCCCCGCUCGACCCCCCAUCCGACGGCCCGGCCGGGCUGGGACCCCCGCACCGGGGUCCCGGUUCCCGUCCGCGGCCCGGGGGCGCUCCUCCCCGGGCUCCGGCCCGGGAUCCCUCGCUGCUCCCGGCGACCUCCGCCGGCUUCCCGGUCCACCCGCCGCGGAACGGACGGGACCCGGGGUCCGCGCCCUUCCCCUCCCCCCCCACGGGGGGCUGGGUCGCGGACCCCGGUUCCUAGGCUCGUUCCGCGGUGGGCGAUCGGGGAUCCCCCACCCAGCUCCCCCUUCCCGGCUCACCCCGCUGGCUUUUGGGCCCCUCCGGGCUUUUUUUCCGGCUGGGGGUCGCGGCGGCCGGCCGACGACGGUAGGUGGGCCGGGCGGACGGUGGUGGGGACGGGCGACGCCCCGGCUCGACGGCAGUCGGCCCCGGAGGGUUGGGGGCUGGGGGCCCGGUCAGGAGCUCCGGGAGCGGGGUCGACCGCGACGGCUUCCGGGUCUCGCGGCGGCUCCCUCUCGGCGGCUCCGGUUGCGCUCCCUCCCCCCUCUCGAGGGUCUGGUCGCCGGUCGUGGUCGGGGGUCCCUCGGCCUAGCCGCCGGCUCUCGGUCCGCCUUACCCUGGGCGUUGGCCGGUCCCGUGACGUUCCCCUCCCCCGCUGCUCCCCAAAAACUCCGCCCGAACCGUCGCGGUUUGCUGGCCCUGGACGUGGUCCCCCCACUCCCCUCCCCCCAUCGGCCGCCCAGCCGGGGUCGGCGCCUCGGACCCCACCAGGCUGUGGCGUGUGUGCUGGCCGAUGCGGCGGCGAGGUUGGGUGUGGCCGGAAGCGCUCGGGGUCGACGGUGGGCCGCCAUGACACCUCAAUUGCCGUCAGUACGCCCCUCCACAAUCACCGUCCCCACACGAUGGGCCCGGCAGUUCACCCAACGUUGGUUCAGGCCCAGUCGGGUUUUUCCCCGGUACGAACGCACGUCCCCGUGGGCUCCACGCGUUUUCCACCCUUUCCUGGAGGGGUCCGGAACACCGUGAAUCCACGGGGAGGGUCCCGGCACGGGCCGAGGAGACCACGACCGUCCCACCCGGCGUGUCGACUCGUCCGAGACCCGGGAAGGGAACAGGCCCCACCUUUUUUUUCCCCUUCUCCGAUUUGCCGUGGAAAACCCGUGAACCGAUACGGGUGCAGACGGCCGAAAAAAUUCGAGACGGCAAUACGACGGCAGGGCGUGAUUUUCUCCCCCACCCGACAAAACCGUGUCCCUCAAAAUUCCCCACCUUUCUCUGUUCAAAUGGCCCCGAAACUGUAAAACACCGUUUGACCGCACCCCAACCGGCGCCAUCUUGGUGACCUUCUCGACGGUUCUCUCGCUCGUCAUGCCGUUCUGAGCUCCGACAUGGCGGACGAGAGAAAAUGGCGUCGAGAGCCGAGGAGCGUUUUCGCUCCAGGCGGGUAAAAAAAUAGCACGAUAACUUUUCUGUGCUUUUUUGAGACGUUUUAGAAGAGCUUUUUUUUCUGCUCAGAGCGAAAAAAUGAUAGCCCUGAAAAUCUCGACGAGUCUGGCCGAGCGGCGCCAUCUUGGAGGAGGGGCGAGUCGCGGGCACCGCCUCGGUACCCCCUGGCCGAGGCGAGUCCGCGAUCGCCGCCUGUUCCGUGAUGCUACCUAGAGGGCGCCGUCGAGGCGACUCUUCCUGUUUUCGCCCUGAGGGCUAACGGUCGCUGACGUCAAACCAUCUCGUGCUCGCUGAGUCACAUCCGGUUGUUGACAAGCGAUGGAGGACCGCACCCAAAGUGCGCCCUCUAGUCAUCGCGCCUGACCCCUUUUACAAACUGCUCGAAGAAAAGAACACCUUAUGUGAAAAAAUACAGAAUGAUGACAAGUUCAUCCAACACAACCGCUCAACAACGCCAUAUCUAUCAGUGUCCAAAAACUAUCUUCUAUCCUUUGAAACUAUAAAUGCUGCCUAUAUACAUAUUUAGUAUCCAAGACUCUUACCACGUAGACGAAAAGAAGUGAUACAAUGAUCUUGACGUGUAUCGUCUAUAUCGUGCUAGAUAUAUUCAGAUAAGACGCGCAAACCAUAGAUUUCUCAUCAGUAUCAUGAAAGACCUAUAGCUCUAUAUACGAACCUAGUCAUUUUAGGACAGCCGCCGGAGAAGCCGACGAGGGAUCGGGCGGGUGCAGCCAGAACCUCACGCCCGAUCCCGCCUCCGGUAGGCGAUUUGCAUCUGUUUGGUAAAAAGCUCAUAAGUCUGUAUGUGACCUAUAUAUAUAUUAUACGCUAUGUACACCGAACUGUCGCUGUUGUAUAAGAAGAAAAAACUCUCCAUAUUUAUAUCGUCUGAAUUUUUGCUUGAUAGACACGUGUUUGGAACUCUGUCCCCCCACGUUUUCACUGUGUAUAACAAAAAUAUGUGUUUCUCAAAAGAUCUUGAGGUGUUUGAAAACGGGGGAAACCUGCGUUUGGGUGCUCUAAGCCCCGGACUGGGACGUAGCCGGCGUCCGGCACCUAUAUUUUUCUAUUUUUUUUUACAAAAUAUAUGAUGAACCAAGAAUAAAACUCUAGCUCUCGUCUAUUUUUAAUAUGCUCUACUUAGAACCUUUUUAAUGACAGAAUGAACUCCAUGUUAUACGCUCUUUAUAUAGUUUCUCUGCACUAACCUUUAAAACCGUAUCCUUCCCUGUUGUACAAAUCAUCUUUUGAUACACAAUGAUGACCUGAUAUCCCUCCAUAUAUAUGAUCGGAUAUUAUUCCGUUAGACUUGUCCUCCUUUUUUUUCCUCAUCUCCUGUAUCUGGAGAUAUAUGUUGACCACCACCGCCAUGACCACCAAAAAGCUAGCCGUCACGACUAGAAAUGUGUAGGAUUCGGACUUUCCGUUCGAGAAGAGACCGCGUCUCUGGACGCUCUUUUUGUCGGUCUGAAUCGACCCGGGAUACGUAAGAGAGCGGCCCUACAUCGGGGGGCGCUCGAGACCGACGACGUUCCAUCUGACCAGAAAAAAAAAGGCACCCCUCGGUGGCGACCUCUCACCAUCGUUUGCCCGUCCGCCCGUCCUUCGUAGCCAUCAUCAUCUCAGGCUCUAUCGGUACCAUCGUUGUCAUCUGAAAAAAAAAAACUGCCUCACCCACCUGCGUAAAAACACCAUCUUUCCGGAGGUGCGGUAAGACGGGCAAAUACGGUCGUGCCGAGGCAAAAAAACGCACCAUCGACACCACACCCUCAUGAGCACCACCUGUCGGUGUUGGUCGUCCUCCAUCGUUCUCUACGAACAUCUCGACGCCCGGGUGACGGACGACGGCAAGACGUCCCGGAGAAGACGGUGUUCUCUCGGGCGGUACGCUCUCUGGAUCUAUAAUAUCUAUAGUAGCUAAACGAGACUGUGAGUACGACGAACCACAUCAUCUUUUUUUUAUGUUGCUUCUUUAGAAAAUGACUUAUGUCGACGACACUCGGCAUCAGCCAUCUCGUGAAACACGCUCGCUUUUCGUCUCUCCAAGGAACACUGGGUCCGCUGAAAGGGACCGUGUACCGACCAAAGCAAAAAACACACACGUAGUAACAUGAUCAACCACGUCUGAAUGACACGAAAACACAAUCGUAUAACGCUCUAUUCAUGGAACGAACUUGGAAUAAAAAAACCAUCGCAGGCCAGAGGCUAAGCCGAAACCGUCCGGGGAAGCGGGCGCGAGUUUUCCGACUUAGUCUCUGGUGCUCGUUGAGCCUCUUUUUUUUUUCCUGAUUCUCUGAAGAAUCACCGUCACAGCCCUAUGACGCGAAAUCAAUUGCUAGAACAUAAACGUUCUCAACAGGUAUGAAAUGAACAAACUAGAUGAUGCUAUAACCUUAUAUUGUGUGUAUAUAGAUAGGUGUGAAAUUUGUAGGAUAAAAAGUGUCGUUGUAUGAUGCACAACGAUCGUGAAACUGGAGACUGUAGCUCUCUACCGAAUGCAAAUACACAAAUGACAUCGAUUCCCGUCCCCACAUAAAGAAAUGUGCUUUACUGUGAAAGAAUGAAGAAGAUUCUUGUUCCUCGUACGACGGGGCCCUCGCUCGUCGUGCCUCUUCCCCCCUCCGGGAGAGGGGACGUCGGGGCCCUCCGUCGCAUCGGGCCAAAGCCAGUGAAAUGUUUACUACACUGUCAUCAGAAUAUAUGAUGUAUAUUAUUUCCUCCAAACUCCUCACCAUAGCCACCAAUUCGCAUCACUUAAGAAAGUAGUAGCAACCGCGGCGGCGGCGACCGGCCGGUCGUCGUCUCCUCGUCCUCAAAUGUUGUACAUGUGCAGAAAAAUGUGUAAAUACGUGUUAUUUAUCCCAUGCGUCUUGUACAUAGAUAUAUGUUUUUAUAUACGCUAUUUAUACUUUAUAUAUCCUUUUGCAUAACCAUAGACAGUCAAGGAUUUUAAUGAUUUGCUCAUCCGCCUUUGAGCCAUCGCUUAGGAGUUAGUUCCUCUAUGUUCUCGGCCCACCUUUUCGACUACAGUAGCAAACCCUUGUACUACCACCCCGAUAAAAACCACAUCAUCAUCGUCACCACGACCUGGAAACGACACACGUUCCCCCCCAAUCUUGGGCAUGUGUAUAUAUAUAAAAAGAAUGGGAGGGAGAGGACGUGGGGCUCGAGAAGAAAUAAACGCCAAGCUCGAUUCGAACC